UAUGAAGCUUUUCUGUAGAUGGAAUUGAGUUUGGGUUUAUUUUGCGCACUAUAGGUGGGAGGCUAAGAAGAUAUAUCUGCGGAGAUAUUAGAGCCGCUAGUGAGAUACCCCUCUUGAUAAAGUAGAAUUUUAAAUUUGAAUGCCAUUAUCUGGCCAAAAAACAGUUCCAGGUGGGCAGUUUGACUGGGGCGGUCGCCUCCUAAAGAGUAACGGAGGCGCGCAAAGGUUCCCUCAGGCUGGUCGGAAAUCAGUCGUAGAGUAUAAAGGCAUAAGGAAGCUUGACUGCAAGACCUACAAGUCGAGCAGAGACGAAACUCGGCCUUAGUGAUCCGACAGU
rnacentral:rRNA from 1 species